CGGGGUGAGUAAUGUAUGGGGAUCUGCCUGAUGGCGGGGGAUAACUACUGGAAACGGUAGCUAAUACCGCAUAAUGUCUGCGGACCAAAGCGGGGGACCUCCGGGCCUCGCGCCAUCAGAUGAACCCAUAUGGGAUUAGCUAGUAGGUAAGGUAACGGCUUACCUAGGCGACGAUCCCUAGCUGGUCUGAGAGGAUGACCAGCCACACUGGAACUGAGACACGGUCCAG
rnacentral:rRNA from 1 species